UAGGGAAUCUUCGGCAAUGGACGGAAGUCUGACCGAGCAACGCCGCGUGAGUGAAGAGGGUUUUCGGAUCGUAAAGCUCUGUUGUAAGAGAAGAACGAGUGUGAGAGUGGAAAGUUCACACUGUGACGGUAUCUUACCAGAAAGGGACGGCUAACUACGUGCCAGCAGCCGCGGUAAUACGUAGGUCCCGAGCGUUGUCCGGAUUUAUUGGGCGUAAAGCGAGCGCAGGCGGUUAGAAAAGUCUGAAGUGAAAGGCAGUGGCUCAACCAUUGUAGGCUUUGGAAACUGUUUAACUUGAGUGCAGAAGGGGAGAGUGGAAUUCCAUGUGUAGCGGUGAAAUGCGUAGAUAUAUGGAGGAACACCGGUGGCGAAAGCGGCUCUCUGGUCUGUAACUGACGCUGAGGCUCGAAAGCGUGGGGAGCGAACAGGAUUAGAUACCCUGGUAGUCCACGCCGUAAACGAUGAGUGCUAGGUGUUAGGUCCUUUCCGGGACUUAGUGCCGCAGCUAACGCAUUAAGCACUCCGCCUGGGGAGUACGACCGCAAGGUUG
rnacentral:rRNA from 1 species